rnacentral:ncRNA from 1 species
UUUAUGGAGAGUUUGAUCCUGGCUCAGAGUGAACGCUGGCGGCGUGCCUAACACAUGCAAGUCGUGCGGGAUUCUGCAGAGUAUCGCAGAGUCUAGCGGCAAACGGGUGAGUAACGCGUAGGAAACCUCCCUCAAAAUGGGGAAUAUUUCCGAGAAAUCGGAGGCAAUACCGCAUAAGACCACAGUUUGGCAUCAAAUAGUGGUUAAAGUAGCAAUACGUUUUGAGAUGGUCCUGCGUCCUAUCAGCUAGUUGGCGGGGUAACGGCUCGCCAAGGCUAUGACGGGUAUCCGGCCUUAAAGGGUGAACGGACACACUGGAACUGAGACACGGUCCAGACUCCUAUGGGAGGCAGCAGUGGGGAAUUUUGGACAAUGGGGGAAACCCUGAUCCAGCGACGCCGCGUGGAGGACGAAGGCCUUCGGGUUGUAAACUCCUUUUAGAGGGGAAGAAAUAAAUGACGUUACCCUCAGAAAAAGCCACGGCUAACUACGUGCCAGCAGCCGCGGUAAUACGUAGGUGGCGAGCGUUACUCGGAAUUACUAGGCGUAAAGCGUAUGUAGGCUGUCAUAUAAGUCUUUAGUAAAAUUUCCCGGCUCAACCGGGAAAAGCCUAAGGAUACUGUUCGACUUGAGUUUGGGAGAGGGAGACGGAAUUCCUGGUGUAGCG